rnacentral:rRNA from 1 species
UACGUAGGUGGCAAGCGUUGUCCGGAUUUACUGGGCGUAAAGAGCGCGCAGGCGGUCGUUCAAGUCGCGUGUGAAAGCCCCCGGCUCAACUGGGGAGGGUCACGCGAUACUGAUCGACUCGAAGGCAGGAGAGGGUAGUGGAAUUCCCGGUGUAGUGGUGAAAUGCGUAGAUAUCAGGAGGAACACCGAUUGCGAAGGCAGCUCGCUGGGACGUUACUGACGCUGAGACGCGAAAGCGUGGGGAGCAAACAGG